GUACUGAUGAAGAGUCCCAAACCCGGACGAAACAUCUGUCCAGUAC
rnacentral:hammerhead_ribozyme from 1 species